CCUACGGGGGGCUGCAGUCGAGAAUUUUUCUCAAUGGGGGAAACCCUGAAGGAGCGACGCCGCGUGGAGGAUGAAGGCUUUCGGGUUGUAAACUCCUGUCAUUUGGGAACUAGUACCAGAAGAGGAAGAGACGGCUAACUCUGUGCCAGCAGCCGCGGUAAUACAGAGGUCUCAAGCGUUGUUCGGAUUCAUUGGGCGUAAAGGGUGCGUAGGUGGCGCUGUAAGUCGGGUGUGAAAUUUCGGAGCUUAACUCCGAAACUGCAUUCGAUACUGCGGUGCUUGAGGACUGGAGAGGAGACUGGAAUUCAUGGUGUAGCAGUGAAAUGCGUAGAGAUCAUGAGGAAGACCAGUGGCGAAGGCGGGUCUCUGGACAGUCCUGACACUGAGGCACGAAGGCCAGGGGAGCAAACGGGAUUAGAUACCCUUGUAGUC
rnacentral:rRNA from 1 species